UUUCUUAUUCCAGCACCUUCCAUUCCUAUUGCCGACUCAACUCCACUAAAACACUGCAAUAUAUACAUUCCACUAACCACAACAACUCCACUUCACUUCCAUUUCCUUGCCUUGGUAUCAUCGACGAGAGUAAGAAAGAGGGAGCCGGAUUCUUUGCUCUGUUCUUUUCUGUUCGUGAGCUAAAGAAAAAAAAGAGUGAGACCUGCUGUUCUGUAUCCAUUCCAUCCAUGAGCUGGGGAGGAGUUUGAGUGCCAAACUUCCUUCAUCUUAGUUGCGAGCUUGAGCAAGAGAGAGGAAGAGCUAGCGGGCUGCAUUUUGGACUGCCGAGAGGAGAGAAAUAACUUCAGCUGCCAGUCGCGGGUAUCAAGCCUAAGCUGAGGUAAUAUUCUGGACUGAAACUGACUGAUCAAGGGUAGAUUAAGCUAUCUAUGGACUUGCAUGUGAUGCUUGUGAGGUUGGAUGAAGAAUUAAGAUUUAAGAAAUCUGGUUUGGAAAGAAGUGAAGUUGCCGAGAGCUUGAGCUGGAAAUUUCAGUUUCAAUUUGUUAAUUUAUGACAAUCUGAGCUUAGUUAUGUGUUUAGCUAGAUAGAAACUAGAUGAUUAUGCUAUACGUGAGGGUAAUCAGUUCGGAUUGAGCAAGAAAGAAAAAAAUGAAACAGAAAUCUGAAUGCAUGCAUGUCAACCGAGAGAAUUUGGUUGAAAUUCUGGUUAGAUGGUGAUAUUUGAUGACAUUUGAACUUGGUCUUGGACCCAAUCUGAUAGAUAGUUUGUUAUUUGGUGUUGCAUGUGAACUUUGUGGCCAGAAAUCCAGUUGCAUGGCUGGAAAUUUUUAUUGGAAACGGUUUGACUGCUGAAUCAAUUUUCCAGCUUAGCCGAUGGAGUAUUUUUGGAAGUUGUAUGGAUAUUUUGGUGUGAAAUUUGCUAGAAAGUGCUUGAUUCUCACUUGGCUGUGUGUUUAACUAACUAGAAUCUGGAUGAUUAAGUUGUGCAUGGGGUUAAUUAGCAUUGAUUAAGUCAGAAAAUUUAAAAGAUACAAAAUCAGGUUACAUGCAAGCUAACCGAGAGCAGGAUUGAUUGAAUUUCUGGUUGGUUAGUGUUUUGAUGUUAUCCGAACUUGUUUAUGGAUCAAAGCUGGUAGAUAACUGAUUUUUGGGUCAUGCAUGUAGCUGUUGAACCGUGAUAAAAAAAAAAAAAAAAAAAAGAAAAGGAAUCUGAAAUUGCGGCCGAGAGAAAGAGUUGAGCAUUUGAUUAGUUUUCUUCGAGUUUGUAGCUGAGACUUUCAUAUUGGAUGCUUAAGAUCUGCUUAUAACCUACUAAUCACCUUUUGCAUGUUGGGUUGGAGUAAAAAUUGGAGAAAACUAUGGACAAAAGCUCUAUAAAUGAACAACUAUAUUGCUGGAAAUUGGAUUUGAUAGCUGGCCGAAUUAAUUGAGGUUUUUGAGUGAGAUUAUUUUCUGACUUUGUGUGUUAUUUGUUCUAGUUUGGGUUGGUCAGAUUAUAAGCUAUAUGUUUAGUGUCUCCAACAAGUAAAAGAUGGAGAUUUAAUAGAUACUUUGAAUUGAUUUGCUGGAAUUUUUCUUGGUUGGCGAAACCAGGGUAAAAUCUGAGUCUUUGGAGGAUUUUUGAGCUAAGCUAGUUGUGAUUUCCUUUUAUGUUUGAGUUGAAUUCUAACUGAUUGGUUGUAAGAAAUAUUUGUUUGAUGCUAAGAGCUAAUGAUUGAUGAAGCUCUUGGCCAUUUGAGUAGCUUUUGCAAGAAUUUAAUUUUUGGUGAAUUUGUUCAAGUGGUUGGCUAAAGAGUACUUGGAAGGUCUAUGGUUUGUGAUUUAGAAUCUGUCUUGAUACCUUGGACUUCCUUUGUUGAAUUUUGGUUGCACUGGAAUCUGUUGAGACCUAGGGCUAAUGAUUGAUGAAGCCCUAGUGAAAUUUAUAUGUGAAUUGUGUGUUAGCUAUAAUGGCAACUUGAAGUACAUUGUGCAAAUAAAUUUGAAUCUGAAAUCCGUUUUAAUCUUUUAAAUUCAAGUAUCUUUAAAUCAAGCUUUAUGGGUAUAGUUUGGUUUAAUAUCAAGUUAUAGAGAUUGAAAAUAGCAUGUUAAUAUCCAAAUUUAAAUGACAGGACUUGUAAAACCUUGCCGACUAAUUAUUCAUGUCAAAAUUUUAAGUUUUCAUAAAAUUGUCCUUAAUUAGUUGUUUUAGAGAAAACUUGUUAAAAACACUAGAUUUGAAUAAUUCCAAAUAAAAGACAUAGAAAAUUUGUUCGGCAAGAAACUUUGUUUAAACUAAUUUGGCUCUAGUUUGCUUCUAGAAGGGAAAAAUCUUUAAAAAGAAACCACACGAAACAUUUUAUUCCUUUUCCAGUUUUAAUUUUUAAGAGAAAGUUAUUGAUUUGUUUCGAGGAAUUAAGCUAGUUUUAUACAAAAUAAUCUUUAUAUAUUUAAAUCAAGAGUUGGUUUAGUAAAACUUAUAAUUUUUAAAACUUGAAUUUCUAGGGUUUAAUGAGGACGUGGACUAUGAUUCCCAGCUUGACUUUUGAGCUUGACUUUUGGUGAGUGUCCCUGCUUGUUUUAUGACUAUUUGGUUACAGUGCUUUCUUGACUCGAUAUAUGAUAAUUGCAAAGUGGUUUUUGAUCCAUCGAAGUGAGCAGUGUGUACUUUAUCACACUAGCCGUUCGAGUGGUGACUUGUGUGAAAUGUUUUCGUGAAUAUCUCAAGUGUUGUGACGUCGUUGGGUAAAUCCCACGACUAGUUUGUGACGUCGUUGGGUAAAUCCCUCGACUAGUUCGUGACGUCGUUGGGUGAAUCUCUCGACUAGUUUAUCCAAAGGGUAUACUCGAGUAUUACUGCUUUCUUAUUUGGGGUUCGGGCCCGGAACAGGGGUAUGAUUGGUGUCGGAGUUAAGAAAAAGAAAAAGAGCUACAUGGACCCUAAGUAGUGAGAGUUGACGGAGUGUCGACUACGGUGAGAGCCCCUGUAUCCUACCUUGUGCUGUUAUACGCUUUCCUAUUUGUUUAUUUCAACUGAAAUCAAUACGUGUUAUUUGUUUUAUUUGAUUGCAUGUUUUGGGGCACCACUGAGCUUUAGCUCACCCCACGUUUGUUUGUUUUCCUUGACAGGUCUUGACGUUUGAGAAAUCUGAGCCUACUUAUAUUUGCUUAUGAAUGUAUUUGAACCUUAUGUCUUUGAUUUGCAGUUUGUAAUGAAAUUCGAAUAAAACAAUGUACUUUUGUCUUGGGUUACCACUUGAAGUUGGAAAAGUGUAAACCCUGGAUUUGUUAUUUGGCUUGUACUAAUGUAUUUGGGUUGUAUGUUUUUGUUGCCUGGUUUGUAACGCGUGAGGUAUUUAAGAGUCGACGAUUGGCUAUCUUAUAAAUGUUGUUAUCUUUGAAGUUAAUGAGGAUUUAGUUAUCAGUCUAUUUGGAAGGAAACGGUGUUGUAAUAGCUUAGGUUAUUCUUCGGGAGGAUUUGGGCUAGAUUGCUUGCG
rnacentral:lncRNA from 1 species